GACGAACGCUGGCGGCGUGCUUAACACAUGCAAGUCGAACGAUGAACUUGGAGCUUGCUCUGGGGGAUUAGUGGCGAACGGGUGAGUAACACGUGAGUAACCUGCCCUGGACUCUGGGAUAACUUCGAGAAAUCGGAGCUAAUACCGGAUCGGACCUUGCAACGCAUGGUGUGGGGUGGAAAGUAUUUCGGUCUGGGAUGGGCUCGCGGCCGAUGAGCUUGUGGGUGAGGUAAUGGCUCACCAAGGCGUCGACGGAUAGCCGGCCUGGGGGGGUGACCGGCCACACGGGGACGGAGACACGGUCCAGACUCCUACUGGAGGCAGCAGUGGGGAAUAUUGGACAAGGGGCGCAAGCCUGAUCCAGCCAUGCCGCGUGUGUGAAGAAGGCCUUCGGGUUGUAAAGCACUUUCAGUAGGGAGGAAGGGUUAAGUGUUAAUAGUACUUAACUUUGACGUUACCUACAGAAGAAGCACCGGCUAACUCUGUGCCAG
rnacentral:rRNA from 1 species